UACGUAGGGCGCAAGCGUUAUCCGGAAUUAUUGGGCGUAAAGAGCCCGUAGGCGGUUUGUCGCGUCUGCCGUGAAAGUCCGGGGCUCAACUCCGGAUCUGCGGUGGGUACGGGCAGACUAGAGUGAUGUAGGGGAGACUGGAAUUCCUGGUGUAGCGGUGAAAUGCGCAGAUAUCAGGAGGAACACCGAUGGCGAAGGCAGGUCUCUGGGCAACAACUGACGCUGAGGAGCGAAAGCGUGGGGAGCGAACAGG
rnacentral:rRNA from 1 species